CAAUAGCGUAUAUUAACGUUGUUGCAGUUAAAAAGCUCGUAGUUGGAUUUCUGGAGGGAGCGUCGGCCCGUAUUUACGAGUGCGUGACGUCUCUGUCCAUCCUUGCGGGAAGGCACGGCAUUGAUUUGUUGUGUCGGAUCGCAUCAUUUACUGUGAAAAAAUUAGAGUGUUCAAAGCAGGCUUUCGCUUGAAUACAUUAGCAUGGAAUAAUAAGAUAGGACUUUGGUGCUAUUUUGUUGGUUGAGCCUAAAGUAAUGAUUAAUAGGGAUAGUUGGGGGCACCUGUAUUGCGUUGUCAGAGGUGAAAUUCUUGGAUUUACGCAAGACAAACAGCUGCGAANGNGUCUGCNAAGGAUGUUUNCACUA
rnacentral:rRNA from 1 species